UACAGAGGGGGCAAGCGUUAUUCGGAAUUAUUGGGCGUAAAGGGCGCGUAGGCGGCUUUUCAAGUGACGGGUGAAAUCCCUCGGCUUAACCGAGGAACUGCCUGUCAGACUGGAAGGCUUGAGACCGGGAGAGGUGAGUGGAAUUCCCAGUGUAGCGGUGAAAUGCGUAGAUAUUGGGAGGAACACCAGUGGCGAAGGCGGCUCACUGGACCGGAACUGACGCUGAGGCGCGAAAGCGUGGGAUCAAACAGGG
rnacentral:rRNA from 1 species